rnacentral:rRNA from 1 species
UACGAGGGGGGCGAGCGUUGUUCGGAAUUACUGGGCGUAAAGCGUGCGUAGACGGUUGCAUAAGUCGGAUGUGAAAUCCCCGGGCUCAACCUGGGAAUUGCAUUCGAGACUGUGUAGCUGGGGUGCGGAAGAGGGAAGCGGAAUUUCCGGUGUAGCGGUGAAAUGCGUAGAUAUCGGGAGGAACACCUGUGGCGAAAGCGGCGCACUGGACCACAACUGACGCUGAGGCGCGAAAGCUAGGGGAGCAAACAGG